rnacentral:rRNA from 1 species
AGCAGCCGCGGUAAUUCCAGCUCCAAUAGCGUAUAUUAAAGUUGUUGCAGUUAAAAAGCUCGUAGUUGAACUUCGGGGUUUACCCAUUGGUCAGGCUUAAUUGUCUGUACUGGUGAGAUGAAUCUCUACCUUCUGAGGAACUUUCAUGCCAUUUAUUUGGUGUGAUGGGAAAUCAGGACUGUUACUUUGAAAAAUUAGAGUGUUUAAAGCAGGCUAACGUCUGAAUACAUUAGCAUGGAAUAAUGAAAUAGGACGGACUGAUUCUAUUUCGUUGGUUUCUAGGAUCACCGUAAUGAUUAAUAGGGAUAGUUGGGGGCAUUAGUAUUCAAUUGUCAGAGGUGAAAUUCUUGGAUUUAUUGAAGACUAACUACUGCGAAAGCAUUUGCCAAGGAUGUUUUCAUUAAUCAAGAACGGAAGUUAGGGGAUCGAAGACGAUCAGAUACCGUCGUAGUCUUAACCAUAAACUAUGCCGACUAGGGAUCGGACGAAGUUAAU